rnacentral:rRNA from 1 species
CACUGGUGCGCGAGAUGAGUAUUCUAAGGCGCUUGAGAGAACUCUGGAGAAGGAACUCGGCAAAUUGACACCGUAACUUCGGAAGAAGGUGUGCCUUUAGUAGGUGAUCCAUUUACUUGGUGAGCCCAACAAGGCUGCAAAGAAUCGGUGGCUGCAACUGUUUAUUAAAAACACAGCACUCUGCAAAGACGAAAGUCGACGUAUAGGGUGUGACUCCUGCCCGGUGCUGGAAGAUUAAAUGAUGGGGUGCAAGCUCUUGAUUGAAGUCCCAGUAAACGGCGGCCGUAACAAUAACGGUCCUAAGGUAGCGAAAUUCCUUGUCGGGUAAGUUCCGACCUGCACGAAUGGAGUAAUGAUGGCCACACUGUCUCCUCCAGAGACUCAGCGAAGUUGAAAUGUUUGUGAUGAUGCAAUCUCCCCGCGGAAAGACGGAAAGACCCCAUGAACCUUUACUGUAGCUUUACAUUGGACUUUGAACAGAUCUGUGUAGGAUAGGUGGGAGGCUUUGAAGCGGUGCCGCUAGGUAUCGUGGAGCCAACGUUGAAAUACCACCCUGGUGUGUUUGAGGUUCUAACCUUGGCCCGUUAUCCGGGUUGGGGACAGUGUAUGGUGGGCAGUUUGACUGGGGCGGUCUCCUCCCAAAGUGUAACGGAGGAGUUCGAAGGUACGCUAAAUACGGUCGGAAAUCGUGUUGAUAGUGCAUUGGCAUAAGCGUGCUUGACUGCGAGACUGACAAGUCGAGCAGGUACGAAAGUAGGACAAAGUGAUCCGGUGGUUCUGUAUGGAAGGGCCAUCGCUCAACGGAUAAAAGGUACUCUGGGGAUAACAGGCUGAUACCGCCCAAGAGUUCAUAUCGACGGCGGUGUUUGGCACCUCGAUGUCGGCUCAUCUCAUCCUGGGGCUGUAGCCGGUCCCAAGGGUAUGGCUGUUCGCCAUUUAAAGAGGUACGUGAGCUGGGUUUAAAACGUCGUGAGACAGUUUGGUCCCUAUCUUCCGUGGGCGCUGCAAGAUUGAGAGAGCCUGCUCCUAGUACGAGAGGACCGGAGUGGACGCACCUCUGGUGUAUCGGUUGUCACGCCAGUGGCAUUGCCGAGUAGCUAAGUGCGGAAGAGAUAACCGCUGAAAGCAUCUAAGCGGGAAACUCGUCUCAAGAUGAGUCUUGCCGGGGCCUUGAGCCCCCUGAAGAGUCGUUCGAGACCAGGACGUUGAUAGGCCGGGUGUGGAAGCGCAGUAAUGCGUUAAGCUAACCGGUACUAAUUGCUCGUGCGGCUUGACCCU